CGUUCUGUAAGCCUGCGAAGGUGGCCUGUGAGGGUUGCUGGAGGUAUCAGAAGUGCGAAUGCUGACAUAAGUAACGAUAAUGCGGGUGAAAAGCCCGCACGCCGGAAGACCAAGGGUUCCUGUCCAACGUUAAUCGGGGCAGGGUGAGUCGACCCCUAAGGCGAGGCCGAAAGGCGUAGUCGAUGGGAAACAGGUUAAUAUUCCUGUACUUGGUGUUACUGCGAAGGGGGGACGGAGAAGGCUAUGUUAGCCGGGCGACGGUUGUCCCGGUUUAAGCAUGUAGGCGGAGGUUCCAGGUAAAUCCGGUACCUUUUAACGCUGAGGUGUGAUGACGAGGCACUACGGUGCUGAAGUAACAAAUGCCCUGCUUCCAGGAAAAGC
rnacentral:rRNA from 1 species